rnacentral:tRNA from 1 species
GGAGAGGUGGCUGAGUGGUCGAAAGCGGCUCACUGCUAAUGAGUUGUACUAGCAAUCGCUGGUACCGCAGGUUCAAAUCCUGUCCUCUCCGCCA